GGCAAGUCGAGCGGAUGAGAAGAGCUUGCUCGUUCGAUUCGAGCGGCGGAGCGGUGAGUAAUGCCUAGGAAUCUGCCUGGUAGUGGGGGAAAACGUUUCGAAAGGAACGCUAAUACCGCAUACGUCCUACGGGAGAAAGCAGGGGACCUUCGGGCCUUGC
rnacentral:rRNA from 1 species